rnacentral:rRNA from 1 species
UACGUAGGGUGCAAGCGUUGUCCGGAUUUAUUGGGCGUAAAGAGCGUGUAGGCGGCCAGACAGGUCAGCUGUGAAAACUCGAGGCUCAACCUCGAGACGUCGGUUGAAACCGUCUGGCUAGAGUCCGGAAGAGGAGAGUGGAAUUCCCGGUGUAGCGGUGAAAUGCGCAGAUAUCGGGAAGAACACCGGUGGCGAAGGCGGUUCUCUGGGCCUUACCUGACGCUGAGGAGCGAAAGCGUGGGGAGCGAACAGG